rnacentral:misc_RNA from 1 species
UCCGAGUUGACCCCGGCAGUCUCCUAUGAGUCCCCACCAUAACGUGCCGGCAACAUAGGACGAGGGUUGCGCUCGUUGCGGGACUUAACCCAACAUCUCACGACACGAGCUGACGACAGCCAUGCACCACCUGUAUAGGACCCUUACGGACCCCCCAUCUCUGGAGGAUUUCCGGUGCAUGUCAAACCCAGGUAAGGUGGGGAUGACGUGCCAAGGUUG